rnacentral:lncRNA from 1 species
UUAUCAAAAGACCAAACAAAUUAUUCAUUGCCAAACCAGAAAGUACCAUUCAUGUACAUCAGGAAAAGAACAUUUAUAACUAAAAUAGCACCCCCACAUUAAGAUCAGUCAACUGCUAUGAAUCUAAAAACUCAGGGGGUACAUACAAUUGAUCCAAGCAAAGCACUCACCGUACAUGAAUUACACACCUCUGGCAGCUUCCUACUUCAAUCCUAGUACAGACUACAGCCCCAUCAGUGAACCAUGGGAGGAAGAGAAAAGCAAGCAACAGUCGAUCAUCUUCAAGACAGGAAGAAACCGGAUCAUAAACUGGAAGAAAAAUUGGGACAGCAGAACCCUCACCUCAUAAUGGACCUUGUGUUUCUUGUCUCUCAUGCAGGUUCUGCAGAAUAAGAUUGUACAACAAAUGAGCAGAAUCUAUAAGCAUUGUCUCUUCAGAUUAUUUGUAAUGGCAGCAUAACACUUGGUUCAAGCAAACGAUUGGUGCUGCUGCUAGUCCUAUUUUUUCAGGAGCAGAGCAAAUUGUACAGCAAAUAAAUCACCCAUAUAUACAAGUAUGGAACGAAUUAUACUAAGCUAUGAUAUAACUCCCAAACAUAGUGACAUUUCAGGAGCAGAGCAAAUUGUCCAACAAAUAAAUCAUCCAAUACAAGUAUGUAAUGAAUUAGACUAAGUUACUCUAUCAUACACCUCAUAUUUGAACCAGGCAUGUGUGUGCAAUAUACAAAUUAUUUCUGUCAUAAACUUGAAACACGACAAGUUGCCCUUACUCAUGACUGGUCAAAACAUCAAAUAAAUGGGUGUAAAUUAAGCUACCUCAAGCUCCACACCAUGAUCUGAAAAACAGUGCAUAUAACAUGACAUGUAGUAAGCAACUCAAUCAUUUUCAUGGUUGCUGGUUAAAAUGGUACACACAUUAAUUGCCACCAUUUCAUUCAGACAAUCAACAGAAAACCAAAUCACUGACACAAAACAGACAGGUACAACAUGUGUUCCUAGCAUACAGGCAUUACACGACGGCUAGGCCACAAUUACAGUGCAGAUUGUGCAAUCAAAAUGCAAGACAGUAUGCGGCGUACACGUACCGAUGGCUCGAGAUGGUGCCCGUUGGCCUGCCGCCGGAGAUCUUGACCUACAAACAGCCAUUCACACUGACUGGAGGAACACAAAAGCAGCAGAUUUGCAGCCCAAUGGGAAUCAAGGUAUUGGUAUGGUACCUUUCAUUCAUAAGAACUUGCCUUUCUGAUAUAUGACCACCACGUUGAUGUUGCAUCUCAGGUUCUCCUGCAGCAAAGAAGGAUCUUCACAAUGCACCACAUAAAAAUUCAGAAAGAGUAGAACAUCAGAAAUAGAAAUUUUACUAAAUGGAAGUUAGAGAGAUAAACGACAGUUCAUGUGGAAACUUCUUGAUUCUCUCCAAAUCCCCACUACCGUAAUCAACGAAUCAUCACUAAAUCCAUCAAAACUAAUAGAGGCAUUAUUCAAUAGCACAAAAGCAUGUUUCUGCUAUGCUACAAGAUUCAGAAAGGUAAAAGAUAAAUAAUAUUCGGU